AAAAAAGUUGCCUGAAUCAGUGGAUAAACUCUUUAACUUACAGACAUUGAAGUUGUGUGGUUGUGGUAGUCUUAUUGAGUUACCUAGAGGCAUUUGCAAUUUACUGAACUUGCGGCAUCUUGAUAUUCUCAGCACACAGAAUUUGCAAGAGAUGCCACCGCAUAUCGGUAAUUUGACUAGUCUCUGCCUGUUGACCAAGUUUAUCGUGGGGGAAAGCAAUGGACGGAUCACAGAGUUACAAAAACUUUCUGAUCUACAAGGGCAGCUUCAUAUUAUAAGUUUAGAGAAGGUUGUAGAUAUUCAAGAUGCGGGUUUCGCAAAUUUGAAGGACAAGCCUGGUAUCACUGAAUUAUACUUAGAAUGGUCUCGUGAAUUUUCUUCUGUUUUGAGAAACUCAAGUGAUGAAGAACAAGUUCUCGACUCACUACGGCCACAUCAAAGGCUGUCAAGCCUUUCAAUUACAUCAUUUGGUGGAAGGGAAUUCUCAA
rnacentral:misc_RNA from 1 species